rnacentral:lncRNA from 1 species
ACAUAGAGAGGUCCAAUUAUCUCUUUAUCCCAUCCAUGGCUCUUAGAGAAUGAUGGGCGGUGUUGGAGGUUUGACGGGGUAAAAGCAAGGCAUUGAGAGCGACCCUUCAACGAGGGAAUGGAGAAGUGCAUAAGGGUCCCAUUCUGUCUCCCAACUUGCCAACACCAUCUUAUCACCUGCGACAACUCUUUCAAUCUCAAUUCCUAGUUUCACACGUGAUCAUCUCCAUUCCCUUCAUGGCAAUUGCAUGCGCCUACAAAUUAAUCAAAGUCUCUUCAGUAAAAGUCUGACCAAUAUAUAUCAAUUAUCAUCACUAAAUACAAAGUACUGUUCCAAAUCCACAUAUAUGUGGCAUGAAAAAUAUACUACAUGCAUUAUGCAUAUCUGACAUACAUGCUUGGAUGACACAAAAGGCUCCUUCCCAUUAUUCAAAAGCCAAAGUGGGUCAUUAUACUUGUGUACCUUCUUUUGCUAAGAAAAUAAGAUCACAAGUUGUGGAGUUUUGUUAAUUAAAGGCUGAAAUAUGAGCUGCC